AGGUAUACACUGGUAAACCAAGGACCCUGGCUGCGCUGAAAGACAAUAUCCGACAAGAAAUUGCUGCCAUAUCGGCCGAAACAUUGGGCAAAGUGAUGGAAAAUGCCGAAAAAAUGGCACAUUUUGCGGUCAAGGCCAGAGGCGGUCAUUUACGAGAUAUCAUAAUCAAAAAGUAGUUAGAACAAAUCUCCUUGGACCAAAAUAAAUGAAUUUCAAAAAAAUUUAAAAUUCCACUUCUUUACUUUGCUAUUGCAAAAACAAAUCCUUCCACUUUAAAUGGCCCACCCUGUAUUUCUUCAUGUCAAUUCACGCUGCAUUCAGAUUUUAUCGUGAAUGUUCUUCUACCUCUUCUUCUCUGUAUUUUAUCAACAACAAAGACAAUCACCUCUAUUCCGGUACACGAUCGGGUUUGAAAUUAGCAAAUUGAUGCAUUUUGUUCGACUCAGAAUAAGCAUUUUUAUCAAUCCGUUCGACUUCGAAUUAUUUCGAAGUUUGUUUUUCAUCAAUGCAAGGAUGCCAAAUUCGCCGACAUGCUCGCAAUUUUACUGAUAUUUGAUUUUCGUCGCAAACUCUAUUCUUUUGCAGACUUAUAUUUUCAGUUGCAGACUGCAAAGUUAUCGUAUUUCUCUUCUUCAUUGUUUGGUUUAGUUUCCUGCGCUAACAACCUCUUUUUUAGACAUCACUUUGCGAUUCUAACGGUUAAAAAGGUAGCCGGCGAAUAUUUAUACACAUCUACAUUUUCGUAGCAGACUUAAAAAAAUCAUCUGACAUCUCUGGAGGCGAUGACGUUUACUCUGGCAAAGGUCAAAACGAAAACAUAUGUUAGCCGACAGUACUAGACGUUUGCAGUGCAGACUUUUUCAGAGUGUGUUUUUGAAAAACUCAACUUUUACAGUAAUUUUUGAAUAUUUUACAAAAAGAUUAAAAGGACUUGCAUAACCAACCGGAGAUGUGGAAACCUUUGCGUUCCAGGCUUAGAUCGCUCAACUGAUGUCGCUCAUCAUCAACUCGUUCUACCCGAACAAAAAAAAAUCUUGCGUGGAUUGAUCACCAACUCUUCGUAUGCUCUCGACAAAAUUCGUUAUAAAUCGCUCAUCGAACCUUAAAAUUGUACAGCGGCAAGUAGCUGUUUAUCAAGCUCAUUUUUAACAAGGAAGCUGGAACUCUGACUAACAUCGAUACUUGUAUCGGAAUUACCAAAACCGAUCUGGUCAAUAACCUUGGUAAGAAAGCCAAGUCCGGAACGAAAGUGUUAAUGGAAACUUUGCAAGCCGGAGCCGACAUAUGGAAGAUUUCCAUUUGCAGGAUGCUAUAUUUAAAGAUUAUUAUAAUAAAAUUGACAAUUUGAUAGAUGUAA